AGAACGAACGCUGGCGGCAGGCUUAACACAUGCAAGUCGAACGGGUGUAGCAAUACAUCAGUGGCAGACGGGUGAGUAACACGUGGGAACCUUCCUAGGGGUACGGAACAACUCAGGGAAACUUGAGCUAAUACCGUAUACGUCCGUAAGGAGAAAGAUUCAUCGCCCCUAGACGGGCCCGCGUCGGAUUAGGUAGUUGGUGGGGUAACGGCCUACCAAGCCUACGAUCCGUAGCUGAUCUGAGAGGAUGAUCAGCCACACUGGGACUGAGACACGGCCCAGACUCCUACGGGAGGCAGCAGUGGGGAAUCUUGGACAAUGGGCGCAAGCCUGAUCCAGCCAUGCCGCGUGAGUGAAGAAGGCCUUAGGGUGUAAAGCUCUUUUACCAGGACGAUAAUGACGGACCUGGAGAAUAAGCCCGCAAACUUCGUGCCAGCAGCGC
rnacentral:rRNA from 1 species